CUGACGCAGUGACGCCGCGUAUAGGAAGAAGGUUUCGGAUUGUAAACUAUUGUCGUUAGGGAAGAGAAAGGACAGUACCUAAGGAGGAAGCUCCGGCUAACUACGUGCC
rnacentral:rRNA from 1 species